UGAGCCUGGCAGUACCACGAUUCUGCUAGCAGUGUGUCUGCAGAUUUCUACUAAAACCUGGGCAGGGAUUUUCUCCUGAUCAAGCUGAGCUCAUCAACAUCCUGCGGCCACAAAGCGACUCCUGGAGUUUCACUCGGAAAUACAGAAACCAAUGCCACACGGGAAGGGAGCAACAAUGCCUUGUUGGGUUGAAGUCAUAGCUGUCUACUGAAUGGAGCUGGGUACUCAACAGCACAGUGCCACCGGUGCUCGCUCCACUCCCAAAGCCCUCGGCGCUGCGUCUGUGCUGGCCACCAUGCCAGUGACCCAAUGGACAGCUCUUCCACUGAGGGGUGAUGUAACCUUACAUCUGCUGAGAGUUUCUCCCCACCCAGGUUCUGCUACUUGGCGUAAGAAGGUGCCUUGUGGAGAACUCGUCCCAACUUCCAUGGCUAUGAGACCCCAUGAGAGAUGUGUAUGGAGGGUGGACACACUCCUCCUCUCCUUCCCAAGCUCCAUGUGCUUUUUGAGGGAGCAUCCCAAGCAGGAAGGCUGC